rnacentral:rRNA from 1 species
UACAGAGGUCUCAAGCGUUGUUCGGAUUCAUUGGGCGUAAAGGGCGCGUAGGCGGCGGGGUCAGUCGGGUGUGAAAUCUUGGAGCUUAACUCCGAAACUGCAUUCGAUACUGCCGUGCUUGAGGACUGGAGAGGAGACUGGAAUUUACGGUGUAGCGGUGAAAUGCGUAGAUAUCGUAAGGAAGACCAGUGGCGAAGGCGGGUCUCUGGACAGUUCCUGACGCUGAGGCACGAAGGCCAGGGGAGCAAACGGG